rnacentral:sRNA from 1 species
AGAGCAUGAUUUUAAUGAAGCAAUUACACUACUACUUUAUGGAAAGAAGAGUCAGCCUAUGUUAGUAAAUACGUUUAACCCAUUUGAUAAUUUAUUAUUAUCGUCUUUAAUUGCAGCAAUACCGAUUGUACUGUUUUUACUAUGUUUAACUGUUUUUAAAAUGAAAGGUAUUUAUGCAGCUAUUACAACACUUGUUGUAACAUU